rnacentral:rRNA from 1 species
UACGGGAGGCAGCAGUGGGGAAUAUUGCACAAUGGGCGCAAGCCUGAUGCAGCCAUGCCGCGUGUACGAAGAAGGCCUUCGGGUUGUAAAGUACUUUCAGUCGUGAGGAAGGUGUUAAGGUUAAUAACCUUAGCAAUUGACGUUAGCGACAGAAGAAGCACCGGCUAACUCCGUGCCAGCAGCCGCGGUAAUACGGAGGGUGCGAGCGUUAAUCGGAAUUACUGGGCGUAAAGGGCACGCAGGCGGUUAAUUAAGUUGGAUGUGAAAUCCCCGGGCUUAACCUGGGAAUGGCAUUCAAGACUGGUUAGCUAGAGUCUUGUAGAGGGGGGUAGAAUUCCAUGUGUAGCGGUGAAAUGCGUAGAGAUGUGGAGGAAUACCGGUGGCGAAGGCGGCCCCUGGGACAAAGACUGACGCUCAUGUGCGAAAGCGUGGGGAGCAAACAGGGAUUAGAUACC